rnacentral:ncRNA from 2 species
CCCUUAUUUAGAGCGGUGGAGAUACAUAGGAUCGAUGAAGCCCGGCAACCCCAUAUGGUAAGAUAUGGAAGGUGCCAACCUGAGCGACUAUCCUGCUUUUGCGGCAGGUCGAACAAUAAGAG